UUUCCUGGACUUUGUGUGUUUGGUUUUUUUGUUUCUUUUUUUUUACUUUCUUUUGUGUAAGAUAACUAUGCUUUACAAAGUGUUUUUAUUUUUUUCUGUCACAGAGCAACAGCAACUAUGUAGAUUCCCUUCUGUCCGUAGAGGAUUAUUUCCAGCUUCUGUCGUAGCAGACAGAAAACGUGCUAGAGGUAAAUGUGUAAACACACGUAUAACUAAUGGAUUGGAAUACGCUCAGUGGUUAUUGGAUAAUGAUUUACUCUGUUUUAUCUUAUUAAAAAACAGGGAAUAUGUGAGCAAAUCAAUACAGUAAGUCCUGAAGAAUUUAAACAAGCUAGUAUCCACCUUGUAUAGCAGCAGUCAUUGGCUUGACUAGAAAAUUUUCCUCAACAACUUGUUUGGGAUUUGAAAACUACAAAGUCCUUUCUUUCAUGUGACCUAAUGUUCAAAGUUGGAUGGAACUGCUAUGGCUUGCUUAAUUAAUUCAGCUAAUGAUUUCCUUUCUGAAACCUAAUACCAAUUCAUAUUUACACAGCAGCUCUUAGUGUAUUUCUCUAAAACAAUACUAAGGUAUUCAAUGCUAGUAGUUAGUAAGCAUUUGCAGCCAAAGGUUACAAUUGUAUGUACUUGACCCAGUAUUUAUGACAAGGAAAGUGUGUUCAAGAACAAACCUAUUUUCAUUGCAAGUCAGGUUGGUCAACAUUAGCAGCAAAACCAUUUUGUUUGCUUCGUUUAUCUUUUGGACUUCUGAUACUAUUGUUUACUUUCUGGAUGCCCAUCUUCACCAAAAAAAAGAGUUAAUUGGAGGUACCCUCUUCUCCCACAGCUCAUAGCUGCAAUCAUUAGCCACGAAGCUACUCCCUACAUUGCUUUUUUGCAGUACUCCAAUGGCAUCUUACAUAUGCUUCCCGUUCUAAGAGCCCUAUAGGUUCAUUAGUGUUUUCCAUACAGUUUCUUUCUUACAGAUGGAACACCUGGUCUUGGGAAUCUCUAGGUUGGAUAGUGCUUCCUCCCCCAUAAAUUAGCUGCCUCCUCUGUUCAACUUUGGUAAUGCAUUCCACGCUAUCAGGGUUCAAAAGUUCGUCGGUACAGUUUUCCCUGUUCUUUCCAUAAUUCAAAAGGAAUUUGGCUGUAGCCCUUAUGCAGUUAUAACAAUAUAUGAUUACAUAUUUUAUUCAAGACUAUCAGUGCACUGCCAUCUUGUGACAAUUUAUCUGUUGAAAAUUGAAUGCUUGCUUUUACCAGCUGGCCUAGAACACAGUAAAUUCCUAGGAAAAAUACAGCAAGACUUCCUUCUGUUACCUGAGCUUCCCGUAAGCUUAGUAGAGAACUUAAGACAUUCUGGUAUUUGUGGUGCAUUGUUCCUUUUGUGUGGAAAGUACGAUUUAUGAUGAAUGUUCAGCAUAUUGCAGGCAGAAAAGCAUUCUCCUGCACAACAGUAGGGGUGCUUAGUUAUGGAGGAAUCAUACCAUAUGCUUUUUAUGUGAUGUAUUUACAGUCUUAGCUUUUUUUUUAAUUCAUGUAUUUUAUGACUGCUUGUCAGCAAGUGCCCUGAUGUAAAUUUGUGCAGUAGUUCUGUACUUCUAGGAGCCAGAAACUGUAACACAGGUCUGCAAAUGGGGGACCUUAAUUCUACCGCAGCAUUUGUUUAUCAUUUGGAUUUCAAAGCUGAGGAGUCAUGUAGCAGCUUUAUUUUUGUAAACAAAAACUGAAUAGUAAUUUCCAGUCAGAAGACAUGUGCAGAAGGUAUGAAUAAUAUGGAUUUGGGGGGAUAUUUCCUUCAAACGGAUUAGUAAGGAAGUUAAGUUGAAAUCUGAAGAUGAUAGACCUGAGUUAAGAAGUAGCUGAGCCAAAUGUGGUAUUUAGCAGCCCCAAAAGCUGUUAUAACCUGUGAGAAGAAAAGCAGUGAUACCGUGUCAGCACGACCUUAAAAUCAAGUUCCUACCCUCUUUCCCUCUCUUACAUCACUAUCCUCACUGGUUAAGUUCUGCAGGGCAGCUAUUUAUCCUCUUUUCAACAUUAACUUUCUAACACUUGGACAUCUUGAACCAGCUCACCCUGGAAUGAAAUGAUGAUCAUCAAUACCACUACCAGGGAAGGGGCAGGCAGGACCAGCAGCGCUCCUAGAGUGACCUUUUCAUAGAUCAGAUUAGAUGUAAUACGUAGGCUGCAGUUUGAUAUGCCUUUAGCAACAAUUCCAUCUCUACCUCUCCCCUUUCAUCAGUCCCACGCUGUCCUUGCCGCUCCUCUUCCUCACAUAGAACCUUCGAAUAUCCCAAGUUGGAAGGGACCCAUGAAGAUCAUAGAAUCAAACUCCCUUCACUUUUCUUCAGCACCCUUCCUACUCUCUCUUGCCACAUGCCAACACCAGUUGUGUUUUGUACAUUCAUUGUAUAAAAGAUCCCAUUUCCCCCCUGUCAUUUUUAGGGCAGUUUACUGGAAGAUACUGGAGAAUCAGCAACCGCUGUGGAUUGAGAAACUGAAGUAAAAAGAAUAUUGGGGGGAGGGGGGUAACAAGGACACCAGGCUUCAGAUCAAAAUUACAGAGAGAAGAAAAAUGUGUUUUAGGCCCAAGUACUUGAUUUUUAACAUCCAACGUCACCUUAUUUUUUUUUCUAUUAUUGUUGUUUAGCAAUGAAAGACCAUAGCUUAAGUUCAUUUUUAGUGAAAUUGUACAAGAGAGAUGCUGUGCUUUACCUUUGUUCAGAAAGGUUCCGCUUUUCCUUUGAGGAGAGAAGCCCAGGAGACUGUUGCAUUUUUCUCAUAUACUUAGUUACAGCUACAUGCAAACAUAAUGUACCAAAUAAAAUUACAACUAGUGUGGUCAUUCUGCAAAUAGAUUCUGAAAAGUAAUUAGUAUCUGAUUCAAUACUUUCUUACCUCUGCAAUUGUAUCAUUCCCAAGAUUUUUGUGGAUGGGGGUGGUGGUAAGUUCCUGUAGUGUUUCCUAGUCUGUGACAUAUACUUACGUGCCUUCCAUUUUUCCCUUCCCUUUGGAUACCUUUCCCAACAGAAGUACUUCAGGUUUUCGCUUUCGCUUUCUAAAAUUGGUAUUUUGUAAGCACCAGUUUGUGCCUUUCAGUUUAUGGGUGGUGAGAAACACUUUUUCCACAGCUAUCUUUAAACAACUGACUAGAAUUUAAUUCAUUUAUCUGUACUUACAAUAAUGAGGUUCCACUUCUCAUAAUGACUUUGAAUGAAGAGAUUUACUACCUUUUGGUUUUGAUGUUUAUUUGUGCUACAAAAAAGACAUUCAUUUACAUGCUUAUUCACAGUAGCUUAUUCUUUUCUAAAAGAUGGCCUAAAAAAGAAUUGGACAUGUAAUAAUGAGAAAGGAAUGUUAGAGGGAUACUAGUUUUUGAGAUGUUUAAGUCAUCGUUAGCAUUAAGAACUAGGUAGCAACGCAUACUUCUGAUACCUUUUAUAAGCAAAGCCCAUAAAAGUGAUAUUAAAAGAAAAGCUCAUUGGUUUUAGUAUGACUGCAAUAUAGCAACUUUAUGCUCUGGUAUGUUAAAAAAGUACUCGCACCGACAAAUCAGAACUAACCAUAUAUGUAAUAAAAUUAAAUGUCACAGGAUAUUUUUCAAAUAAAUGAAAGCACCUUUAGCAUCUGAAUAAUGUUUGCACUGCUGUUCACACUGAGUAGCAGGUGCAGAGCAGUCAACUGGUACUUUCUAAAAAGGAAGCAGUGCCUCAGAGUACAAAAUACACUAAAUUAUCAAGUGGUCACUUUAAACAAUUUGCAUUUUAUAUUAAAAGAUUUAUUCAUG